rnacentral:rRNA from 1 species
AGUGAACGCUGGCGGUAGGCCUAACACAUGCAAGUCGAACGGCAGCACAGUAAGAGCUUGCUCUUACGGGUGGCGAGUGGCGGACGGGUGAGGAAUACAUCGGAAUCUACUUUUUCGUGGGGGAUAACGUAGGGAAACUUACGCUAAUACCGCAUACGACCUACGGGUGAAAGCAGGGGAUCUUCGGACCUUGCGCGAUUGAAUGAGCCGAUGUCGGAUUAGCUAGUUGGCGGGGUAAAGGCCCACCAAGGCGACGAUCCGUAGCUGGUCUGAGAGGAUGAUCAGCCGCACUGGAACUGAGACACGGUCCAGACUCCGACGGGAGGCAGCAGUGGGGAAUAUUGGACAAUGGGCGCAAGCCUGAUCCAGCCAUACCGCGUGGGUGAAGAAGGCCUUCGGGUUGUAAAGCCCUUUUGUUGGGAAAGAAAAGCAGCAGGUUAAUACCCCGCUGUUCUGACGGUACCCAAAGAAUAAGCACCGGCUAACUUCGU